CUUCGAGCGGGGGAUUCAUCCUUCGGGGUGAUGACCCAGCGGCGGACGGGUGAGUAACACGUGGGCAACCUGCCCGCAAGACCGGGAUAACUCCGGGAAACCGGGGCUAAUACCGGAUACACCUUUUCCCCGCAUGGGGAAAAGGGGAAAGAUGGCUUCGACUGUCACUUGCGGAUGGGCCCGCGGCGCAUUAGCUAGUUGGUGAGGUAACGGCUCACCAAGGCAACGAUGCGUAGCCGACCUGAGAGGGUGAUCGGCCACACUGGGACUGAGACACGGCCCAGACUCCUACGGGAGGCAGCAGUAGGGAAUUUUCCGCAAUGGGCGAAAGCCUGACGGAGCAACGCCGCGUGAGUGAGGACGGCCUUCGGGUUGUAAAACUCUGUUCUUGAGGAAGAAUUCCGGUCAGGUGAACAGCCUGAUUGGUUGACGGUACUCAAGGAGAAAGCCCCGGCUAACUACGUGCCAGCAGCCGCGGUAAUACGUAGGGGGCAAGCGUUAUCCGGAAUUAUUGGGCGUAAAGCGCGCGCAGGCGGCCGGUUAAGUCAGGUGUGAAAGGCUGCGGCUCAACCGCAGAGCUGCAUCUGAAACUGGUCGGCUUGAGUGCAGGAGAGGGGAGCGGAAUUCCCGGUGUAGCGGUGGAAUGCGUAGAGAUCGGGAGGAACACCAGUGGCGAAGGCGGCUCUCUGG
rnacentral:rRNA from 1 species